CCUACUGUAUGUACAGAA
rnacentral:snRNA from 1 species